GUCUACAGCCAUACCACCCUGAACGCAUCCAAUCUCAUCUGAUCUGGGAAGCUAAACAGGGUCUGGUCUGGUUAGUACUUGGAUGGAAGACAGAUCUUCAGAAGAGACUGCUCAGAGACAAGCAGUUUGGAGACA
rnacentral:rRNA from 1 species